UCCAUAACAUUGAACCAUGGCAGUUAAAGUGGUAUCAAACUGGAUUAUUUCUGCAGUGUGGAUGCAGCCAUCUAGGAUCAAAACCCUUGGAUACUCAGUGCUUUCUCAGUGAGGCUGACAUACACACAUAAUCAUCAGAGGAAUUAAACACUCAAGUGAUACAUGGGGGAAGACAUGCCAGCUAUACCCUGAGUAACAUACAAGGAAUUCUGCAGUAAGGAGCCCAAGUGACUUUAUCCGAGGUGAUCACCUCAGCAGUUGGUAUGAAUUUUCCAUUUUUCCCAAGUAACUGAUUAAAACAUUAUGACUGACCAAAAACACUGCUCCUGAUUAAUAUAGUGCAAAAAUGCAUGCUUCUUCCUCAUAGAAUGAUUUUUUUCUAUAUUCAGAGUUAUGCAGAUAUGAUGAAUUGAUUAACAAUGCAAUCCUACACCUGUCUUCACAGAAGCAAGUUCCAUAGGAUUACAGAACUCCAUCUCUACUAAGCCAGUGGCCCAGGUGCAAAGGGAUGCCAGAUGGCUGUAUGUCAAAGGAAACAAAAAUGCCAACCAACAUUUCACAGUUUUAGCCUCCAUGACCUCAAGCAGCAUAAUGACUGAAGGGAGCAUGCUUGCCAAAAGUUUGUAAGAGUUUCCACUGGUGCCAUGG